GACGAACGCUGGCGGCGUGCUUAACACAUGCAAGUCGAACGGAGUUACGUAUGAAGUAUUUCGGUACGGACUACAUAACUUAGUGGCGAACGGGUGAGUAACACGUGGGCAACCUGCCCUUAACCGGGGGAUAACAUUGUGAAAACAGUGCUAAUACCGCAUAACAGAGUAUCGGGCAUCCGAUAUUUUUAAAAGGAGCAAUCCGGUUUAGGAUGGGCCCGCGUCCAAUUAGCUAGUUGGUGAGGUAACGGCUCACCAAGGCUACGAUUGGUAGCCGAACUGAGAGGUUGAUCGGCCACAUUGGGACUGAGACACGGCCCAGACUCCUACGGGAGGCAGCAGUGGGGAAUAUUGGGCAAUGGGCGAAAGCCUGACCCAGCGACGCCGCGUGAAGGAUGAAGGUCUUCGGAUUGUAAACUUCUUUGAUCAGGGAAGAAAGAAAUGACGGUACCUGAAGAACAAGCCACGGCUAACUACGUGCCAGCAGCCGCGAAAUAA
rnacentral:rRNA from 1 species